rnacentral:rRNA from 1 species
GACGAACGCUGGCGGCGUGCUUAACACAUGCAAGUCGAACGGAAAGGCCCUGCUUUUGUGGGGUGCUCGAGUGGCGAACGGGUGAGUAACACGUGAGUAACCUGCCCUUGACUUUGGGAUAACUUCAGGAAACUGGGGCUAAUACCGGAUAGGAGCUCCUGCUGCAUGGUGGGGGUUGGAAAGUUUCGGCGGUUGGGGAUGGACUCGCGGCUUAUCAGCUUGUUGGUGGGGUAGUGGCUUACCAAGGCUUUGACGGGUAGCCGGCCUGAGAGGGUGACCGGCCACAUUGGGACUGAGAUACGGCCCAGACGCCUACGGGAGGCAGCGGUGGGGAAUAUUGCGCAAUGGGCGGAAGCCUGAUGCAGCAACGCCGCGUGCGGGAUGACGGCCUUCGGGUUGUAAACCGCUUUCGCCUGUGACGAAGCGUGAGUGACGGUAAUGGGUAAAGAAGCACCGGCUAACUACGUG